UUUUUGAUUAGUACAGUAGUUAAGUUUAAUGCAUCGCUGAUGUGGUAUCGUGAAGCAACACUUGUACUGUGCGGUGAAAAAUAAAAAAUCCUUUAUUUGGGUCCUGCAAAGUUGCAGAUAAGCAGCAAGUCUUUGCUGUUCAGAACAGAAGCUCUCAAAUGGUUUGGGUGCUAUGAGAUCGGCUUUGUGGAACAAGCAGCAUCCAUAAGAGUAUAUAAGUCAUAACUCUAUGCUGCCCCAGUAGAGAAGGUGGUUUGGGUAUAAAGAGGUUGGCCGUUGUUAAUAGGGCAAUAUUGAUGAAGUUAUGGGUGAGUAUUAGAUAUCUUACUAUAAUAAAUAAAAGACCCUUUUUUCGAUCGGAGAUUUGCUUUUUGGUUUGUAAGAAAAGACCCUUUUUUCGAUCGGAGAUUUGCUUUUUGGACUUCGAGAAUUCGAGACUAACCAAAAUCACCAGACAAAUAUGAUGGAGAAGUAAAUAAAAUUAACUUUAGAUCAUCACUCCAUCAUAAUUUCUUCCCUCUUUUUCUCUGAUUAUCGAAUCAACGAUGUGCUUAGUCGAUUUGGAUUCAAAUUCACUUAUGGAUCGUUUCAUCAAAAUUUCUUUCCUCUUCCUCUCUGAUUACCAGCUCAACAUCGUAUUUAUUUGAUGGAUUCACUGCUCCAUUUUAGUUUCUGCACUAAAGCUCCAGUCAUUUUUGCUUAUUUGUAUGCGAGGUUUGGUACUAGCCUAUUAGAAUACAUGCUUUCAACCGUUUCAAUUGAUGUCAUUUUCCUCCUACUGG